AGAUUGAACGCUGGCGGCAUGCCUAACACAUGCAAGUCGAACGGGGAGUAGCAAUACUCUAGUGGCGGACGGGUGAGGAAUACGUAGGAAUUUUGCCCUUAAGUGGGGGAUAACCCGGGGAAACCCGGAUUAAUACCGCAUGACCUCGAAAGAGCAAAGUGGGGGAUCGCAAGACCUCACGCUUUUGGAGAAGCCUACGUCGGAUUAGCUAGUUGGUGAGGUAAUGGCUCACCAAGGCGACGAUCCGUAACUGGUCUGAGAGGAUGAUCAGUCACACCGGAACUGAGACACGGUCCGGACUCCUACGGGGAGCAGCAGUGGGGAAUAUCGGACAAUGGGCGCAAGCCUGAUCCAGCAAUGCCGCGUGUGCGAAGA
rnacentral:rRNA from 1 species